rnacentral:rRNA from 1 species
ACCGGAUACAGGUGCUGGCAUGGCUGUCGUCAGCUCGUGUCGUGAGAUGUUGGGUUAAGUCCCGCAACGAGCGCAACCCUCGCCCUUAGUUGCCAGCAUUUAGUUGGGCACUCUAAGGGGACUGCCGGUGAUAAGCCGAGAGGAAGUGGGGAUGACGUCAAGUCCUCAUGGCCCUUACGGGCUGGGCUACACACGUGCUACAAUGGUGGUGACAGUGGGCAGCGAGCACGCGAGUGUGAGCUAAUCUCCAAAAGCCAUCUCAGUUCGGAUUGCACUCUGCAACUCGAGUGCAUGAAGUUGGAAUCGCUAGUAAUCGCGGAUCCAGCCAUGCCGACGGUGAAUACGUUCCCGGGCCUU